AGCAGUGUGGCUCAGUGGAAAGAGCCUGGGCUUUGGAGUCAGAGGUCAUGAGUUCAAAUCCCGCCUCUGCCA
rnacentral:tRNA from 1 species